rnacentral:rRNA from 1 species
UACGUAGGGGGCAAGCGUUGUCCGGAUUUAUUUGGGCGUAAAGAGCGUGUAGGCGGCCAAGCAGGUCCGCUGUGAAAACUCGAGGCUCAACCUCGAGACGUCGGUGGAAACCGUUUUGGCUAGAGUCCGGAAGAGGAGAGUGGAAUUCCCGGUGUAGCGGUGAAAUGCGCAGAUAUCGGGAAGAACACCCGUGGCUAAGGCGGCUCUCUAGUACGGUACUGACGCUGAGACGCGAAAGCGUGGGGAGCGAACAGG